rnacentral:rRNA from 1 species
UGGCUCAGAACGAACGCUGGCGGCAUGCCUAAUACAUGCAAGUCGAACGAACACUUCGGUGUUAGUGGCGCACGGGUGCGUAACGCGUGGGAAUCUACCCUUGGGUUCGGAAUAACAGUUGGAAACGACUGCUAAUACCGGAUGAUGACGAAAGUCCAAAGAUUUAUCGCCCAGGGAUGAGCCCGCGUAGGAUUAGCUAGUUGGUGAGGUAAAGGCUCACCAAGGCUACGAUCCUUAGCUGGUCUGAGAGGAUGAUCAGCCACACUGGGACUGAGACACGGCCCAGACUCCUACGGGAGGCAGCAGUAGGGAAUAUUGGACAAUGGGCGAAAGCCUGAUCCAGCAAUGCCGCGUGAGCGAUGAAGGCCUUAGGGUUGUAAAGCUCUUUUACCCGGGAUGAUAAUGACAGUACC